AGAAUAUAAAAUAAGGGAGGUAGGAUAAAGAUUUUGACAUCUAACCCUCUCUCAUUAUUAUUUAUCAUUAUGAAAAAAAGAGAGAGAAGAUUUUGGCAUUAAUUAGCCACAGAAACAAAAAGAAGAGGGAAAAGGAGAAAGGAAAAAGUAUGCCAAAAAGAAUAAAUUUGGCUUUUUGGCUUUGCAUUGCGUGCAUGGCUUUCCACAUCUAGCAAUGAUAUUGGGAAAGCCAAUUCUGCGAAUGAGAAACAGCCACGUUUUCAAAAUCCAGAGGGACACGUAAAUGGCUAGGUUCUGUUUAGUUCGAAUGGCUUGAGCCAGGGGUCUCCGAUCACUUGGUUCGUGGUCCAAUUCCCAGCCCCCUUUUAGGCUCACUUUUUGCUGUGACUGUGCCCAUCCCUCCCUCCCAUGGUUUGAUGGUGAGACCAGCGGUGUCUAUGGCUUUGCCUUUUUUUUUUUUUAAUCAUGGGAAGCCAACCACUUGAGUAAUUGGUGGCCAGCCUAGCAGAUUCUCCGUAUAUUCCCAACCCUACCCCUUCCAAAUAUAUCUCACUUAUUCAAAAAAUAAAAGAAAAUCAAAUAAAUGCUAGUUUAUUAUUGGUAUUUGAAUUAUGUCAAUGAAAAUUAUUUGUACAAGUGUUUUUAAAAAUCUUAAUUUAAAAUUUAAGUAUUCAAUACCGCUAUAAAAUAAAAAAUAAAAUGUUUGAUUUUAAAUAUGAUAUCGUUAAAUAAAAAUAAA
rnacentral:lncRNA from 1 species